AAUCGAGGCAGAGGGAGUAUCCCAGAGCAGAGUACCCUGCCGAAAGUGUGGAAGCAGUCCGAUAUCGAUACAUAAGUUUGUACAUAAUAACCAGCUCCUGUUGGGUCGGCUCCGGAUCUUUUUUCCGAUUACCAAUUUUCAAUUCUUCCAAAUGACGACCACCAUGGGACCGCCGCCUCCCAGAACCCCGGCCACCACAACCGCCCCAGAACCCGAACCUUCAACAUCCACACCAAAAGCAACUGUCCCAAUGGGCCCACCACCUGCUCCCCUAAACCCUAACCCUCCCGUCCCUGAAAACCCUAACUCCGCCGGCGAUGCAACCGCAAACACCGAGGCCGCAGAUCAAUUGCAGUCUACCGAUUCAAAUAGCAACGACAAGCAACCAAAAUCACAAUCGCAGUCGCCAAACGCUGCGGUGCCGUAUACGAUUCCGCCGUGGAGCGAAGCUCCGUGCCAUAAGUAUUCUUUGGAAGUUCUUAAAGAAGGCGCUAUCGUCGAUCAAUUCGAUGUACACGAGAAAGGAGCUUAUAUGUUUGGUCGUGUUGAUCUUUGCGACUUUGUGCUAGAGCACCCUACCAUUUCUAGAUUUCACGCAGUUCUCCAGUUCAACAAAAAUGGGGAUGCCUAUAUCUAUGAUCUCAGUAGCACACAUGGAACUUUUGUCAAUAAAAAUCAGGUGAAGAAAAAGGUUUAUAUGGAGUUGCAUGUUGGUGACGUUAUUCGAUUUGGCCAUUCCUCAAGACUGUACAUUCUUCAAGGGCCAUCUGAUUUAAUGCCACCGGAAAAAGACUUGACAACUAGUAGAAAGGCUAAGGUUCACGAAGAAAUGAAAGAUAUGGAGGCUUCGCUCCGACGAGCAAAAUUGGAAGCAUCUCUUGCCGAUGGUAUUUCGUGGGGUAUGGAUGAGGAUGCUAUUGAAGAAAAUGAGGAUGACAUUGAUGAGAUAACUUGGCAAACUUACAAGGGACAGCUGACUGAGAAGCAGGAAAAAACGCGAGAUAAAGUUCUAAAGCGGCUUGAAAAGGUUUCCAAUAUGAAAAAAGAAAUAGAUGCUAUUCGUGUCAAGGACAUUGCUCAGGGUGGCUUGACACAAGGCCAACAGACUCAGAUUGCUCGUAAUGAACAGAGAAUAUUGCAGAUAGUUGAAGAGCUUGAAAAUUUAGAAGAGACUUUAAAUGAAAGUAUAAGGGAGAGUUUAGGUGCACGUUCUGGUAGAAAGGUUCAUGGAAAGAAGAAAGGUGCAACAGGAGGUGGCGAAGAUGACGACGAUGAAUAUCUAAGUGAUGAUGACGAAUUUUAUGACCGGGCAAAAAAGAAAACACCUAAGGGAUCUGAAAACCAUUCCGUUGAAACUGCUGACUCUCUUCUUGAUAAGAAAGAGGCUAUAGUGAAGGAGAUGGAAGAUAAAAAUAAGUUGCUAGUAGAUGAGAAGGGAAAAUCUGUGCAGGGGAAUGAAGCUGCAACUCAGGUUGAACCUGAAGAGGGAGAUGCAUUAGAUGCUUAUAUGUCUGGGCUAUCUUCGCAACUAGUGCAUGAUAAAUCUGAGCAACUUGAGAAGGAACUGCAUGUUUUGCAGUCUGAGCUAGAUAGGAUACUUUACUUGUUGAAGAUUGCUGAUCCUACUGGAGAAGCUGCAAGGAAAAGAGGAUUGCAGGGACAGCUAUCUAAACCUGUUUUGUCUAAUAUUCCUGCUCCUUCCAUGGUAAAGAAAGUAGCAUUGCAACAAGACAAACAGCGUGGAGUGGAAGCAAAAACAAAUGGCUCGGGUCAGAAACAGGGUGUUAUUGCUUCAAUCGUGGAAUCAAGCAAGAAGCCAGAGAACACCGAAAUUGUAGCUGAUGCAGUAGAGAGCAUAACCACUACAUAUACUGCUAUAAAGCCGCAAUGGCUUGGAGCUGUUGAGAAAACAGAAGUAAAAUUAAGUCAAGGAGAAGCUCCUCGGAGUAUGGUGGAAGGUGACAAGUUUGUUGAUUACAAAGAUAGGCAGAAGGUCCUGGGAAAACCUGAUACUGCCCAGGUGGGUGCAGAAACUGAUCUUGAAAAUGCAGCCCCAGGUUUAUUGAUAAGGAAACGCAAGCUUGUUGAGAGGUCAGAUGUCAGUGAAGUUGAAGGUUCUGAGUCGAUAUCUACCUCGGUGGGAACAGAAAUUAAGGUGGAAGAUGCCGUGGCAUUAUUGUUAAAACAUAAAAAAGGAUAUCAUGCGGUCGAAGAUGAGACAGAAGCUGAAAAUGCACAACCGAAACAAAGAAAUCCUUUGAAGAAGAAUGACAAAAAGCCUAAAAGAAUUCUUGGUCCUGAAAGGCCUUCAUAUCUUGACAGUGAAGGCAAUUAUGAUGAGUCUUGGGUGCCUCCUGAAGGUCAGUCAGGUGAUGGACGGACCUCAUUGAAUGAUCGAUUUGGAUAUUAGUAGACGGCCCGCCCCUAAAAGCAAAAUUGGAUGAACGAGUUAGAUGCAACUGAAGGUUAAAAUUUACCAUGCAUAUCUUUGUAUUAAAUACAAAUAUACAGCUAAAUUGUAAUAUCUUUGUAGUAGAUUUCAAUGUAGCUGUAGAAAUUAAUAAAUUUGGUAGUUAGUAUUAUAUGACUGAGCAAGACUGAGCAACGGGGAUUGAGUUUGCCCUGUUAUGUCUGCAACUGAUAUAAAUAUGGUUUCUGUUUACAAUACAGUGUCGGCUCCAACCCCUGCCAAUGAGUAUCACACAGGUGUAUGACACUAAGUUUGCGCUCACUUUAGCAGGACAUGAAUGGAAUGGAAUGCAUGUGAGAUGGAUGCGCUCACUUCGCAAGAACGGAGGAGGACAGGAAUGUAAUGCAUGUGAGAUGGAAUGAGACAUGAAUGGAAAGGUCAAAUAAUCAUUCCAUUCAUUUGUUUGUUUAAGUAUAAAUCAAUAGAAUGAAUGAAAUUAUUAUGGUAUUAAUUUUUUUUAGAAAGAGUUUGUGGAUAAACUUCUAGAAAUGAAAAUGUUUUUAGAAAAUAUUUAUAAAAUAAAGUUUCGGGGAAGUUCUUGGAAAA